rnacentral:rRNA from 1 species
UACGUAGGGUGCUAGCGUUGUCCGGAUUUAUUGGGCGUAAAGAGCGUGUAGGCGGCUUGGUAAGUCCGCUGUGAAAGUCCAGGGCUCAACCCUGGAAUGCCGGUGGAAACUGUCAAGCUUGAGUCCGGAAGAGGCGAGUGGAAUUCCUGGUGUAGCGGUGAAAUGCGCAGAUAUCAGGAGGAACACCAAUGGCGAAGGCAGCUCGCUGGGACGGUACUGACGCUGAGACGCGAAAGCGUGGGGAGCAAACAGG